GACGAACGCUGGUGGCGUGCUUAACACAUGCAAGUCGAACGGAAAGGCCUGUCCUUCCUUGUGUUGGACGGGUACUCGAGUGGCGAACGGGUGAGUAACACGUGAGUGAUCUGCCCCCAACUUGGGUAUAAGCCUGGGAAACUGGGUCUAAUUCCCGAUAGGACUGCAGGGUGGUGCCUGUGGUGGAAAACGAUUUUCUAGUGGUUGGGGAUGAGCUCGCGGCCUAUCAGCUUGUUGGUGGGGUAAUGGCCUACCAAGGCGGCGACGGGUAGCCGGCCUGAGAGGGUGGACGGCCACAUUGGGACUGAGAUACGGCCCAGACUCCUACGGGAGGCAGCAGUGGGGAAUAUUGCACAAUGGGCGGAAGCCUGAUGCAGCGACGCCGCGUGGGGGAUGACGGCCUUCGGGUUGUAAACUCCUUUCGACCGCGAGGAAGCCGCCUGGUUGGAAGGGUGGUGACGGUAGUGGUAGAAGAAGCACCGGCUAACUACGUG
rnacentral:rRNA from 1 species